AACGAACGCUGGCGGCAGGCCUAACACAUGCAAGUCGAGCGAGGACUUCGGUUCUAGCGGCGGACGGGGGAGUAACGCGUGGGAAUGUGCCCUUCUCUACGGAAUAGCCCUGGGAAACUGGGAGUAAUACCGUAUACGCCCUAUUGGGGAAAGAUUUAUCGGAGAAGGAUCAGCCCGCGUUGGAUUAGGUAGUUGGUGGGGUAAUGGCCUACCAAGCCGAGGAUCCAUAGCUGGUUUGAGAGGAUGAUCAGCCAGACUGGGACUGGGACACGGCCCAGACUCCAACGGGAGGCAGCAGUGGGGAAUCUUAGACAAUGGGCGCGACGCUGAUCUGGCCCUGCCGCGUGGGUGAUGAAGGCCUUAGGGUUGUAAAGCUCUUUCAGCUGGGAAGAUAAUGACGGUACCAACAGAAGAAGCCCCGGCUAACUCCGUG
rnacentral:rRNA from 1 species